CGGCAUCUUAGCCAGCCUGUGCUGUGGAAUGCCCCCUGGAAAACGGCACCUUGGCCAGCCUCCUGUGCUGUGGAAAAUGGCACCUUGGCUUACUAGGUGACAACACUGGCUCACCUCUUGACUUUCUCACGGUAUCUGAUGUGGUUCUAGAGGUGAAUGAAGGAUGGCAUGUAACAGGAACAUCAAAGAUCAAACUCAUUAUAUGAGGCAGUUUUGAAGGUUUGCAGGGGUAGUUGUGGCUUGGUAGUGACAUCACUGCUUGGGUUACCUGCAGGUUUGAGUCCCCGCCCUUGGCGUCUGCCUUGGUUUCCUGCUAAUGGCCACCCUGGGAGGCAGCAGGCGUCAGCUGCAGUGCCUAGAACCCACCUGCCAUGUGAGAGGCCGGGGUUGUUCUGCCCCUGGCUUUGACUUGGCCAAGCCCUGCCUGCUGCAGUCAUCAUGAAGACAUCUCCAGCCCGGCCCCUGUGCCUUUCAGCUGAAUAAAAUUUAUUUAAAAUUUUUAAAUUGAAAUCAUAUAGUAUGCUUUCUUUGGCCACCAUAGAAUGGACAUAAGAGUAAUAGGAAAAGAAUAGGAAAAUUUCCAGGCACUUGGAAAGAAGCGGCUCACUUCUAAGUAGUAUGGGUCCAGUGCACCGAGCUGACCACAGAGCGCAGCAGCAGCCACGGGCAGCGCUCCCGCAGCAGGGUUAGGAUGCUGGGUGCUGGCAGUCAGCCAGGCCUCCACCUGCAGGACCUGGGAAGGCACCGAGCGACCUCCAUGGAAACAGGAAGAAAGAGCAGAACUCGGUGAACUUCAACACAGACUCAAGGGGAGAAAAAAAAACCGUGAGAGCUGGGCCUCUGAUAACUGACAUGACGGACCACUGGCAAGACUGACAGGGGAGUUAGCAGCAUUCUGGACGCACCCUUUCAGCAAAUGCAGGAGGAAGGAAGCUGACGGUGCCCAAGACCAAAGCCAAGGACACCAUCCCUUGAGUUUGGAUGCAGAAACCUUUGGCAAGACUCAGAAUCCAGAAAAAGAACUGUGGCAUGGUCUAGUGGAACAUAUUCCAGUGAAAAGUCAGGCACAGGCUUUCUGGGACAGUGGGUGAAGCCUGCUUCCCAUGAUGCCAGCAGCCUCCCACCCCAGAUGUCAGAGGGCAGCUGAAGGUGGCCGCCCGCUGGACGACCUGGAUGGAGCUCCCUGGUUGACACGGCCAUCUGGGGAGUGCACCGGCGGGUGGAAGAUCUCUGUCGCCCUGACGUAAAUCUGUUUUGUAGAGGUCAUUUUAUGUCCU